CUGGCCUCUCGCCUCUCCCGGGCUCCCAGCAGCUGCUCUCAGCACAUGCUUCCGUGACUUAGCAGGAAGAGGGACAACCUGCUGCAGUGGCUAAGGUUUGAAAGAAAAUCCCUUCCUCCAGACCUGUAAAACUGAGGAAUUGACUGGAGAGAGAAUCAUGCCCAAAGGGGAAAACAAAGGGAGAAGCUGGGAAGUACUGACCCAACCCACAUAGAGGUGGAGAACAAGAAAGAAGGAGGUCAGCGUCCCUGUGUGGCAGCAGCAGUCCCUUCCUGCCUGAUGCAGCUUCUGCUCUUCCCCUUUGAGUUGAGGAAACAGAGAAUCAUUUGAGAAAUGAUUGGAUGCAUGGUGGUACAAAAAUGUAAUGGAGUACUAUUGGGCAAUAAGAAGUGAUGGCUAUGAGGAGUGAACUGAUACAGGGCGAAGUAAGUAGCACCAGCAGAACAACACACAUGGAAACGA